UGCAAUGUUGCAACAGCAGCCUAUGCAAAGCUUUGGUUUGGUAUCACUUCUUAACACUAGAAACUUGGAAGCACAUAUCUGAGGAAACCAGGCUUCACUACACUGUUGGUUUUGGAAAUAAUUCCUUUUAAGAGAUGAAUAGUAAUUUACACAUUAUUGGAUUAUCUAAUCAACAUGAAAAUGAUUUUACUUGAACAUAGGGAAUCUUAGAGUUUGUCCUCCUCCAUAGGCUGCUGUCAGAGAUGGGUUAUUAAGCUUGAUGGACUUGAACUGAUAUGGUUGCUCCUCUGUUCCUUUGGCUUAGUCAUGAACAAAUGAAAACUAAUUUUGGCCACUCAGCAUUCUGCAAACCAUACAAUCCUCUGCACAUGGUAAUUCUGCAAGAGUAAGCUUUAAAAACGAAACUCUUGUUCUCUGUAGGCACUAGAGAUGCAAAUUUGGUGGGACAGAAUCUGAAGGCUAUCUAUCUCCUCAGCUGCCCUUUCUACAAUGUAAUAUUUCCUUUGCACUUACUUUGAAGUGGUUGUUUUUAAGCUCAGUUGUGUACAUACAAAAUGAUCUCUGAGGAUGAAAGGUAAUAUGAAACUAAAGAAAGACUUUGAAACAUAAUGCAUGAAAGAGGAAGGAAAGUAGAAGAGAUGCACUGUCAUUCACCAUUAAUCAUUUCAGCUGGCUACACCUAUGUUAAAAAUGCAUGUGCAUGUAUUUACACAAUACACAAUCAUGCAAAGAUGCAAAAAGUACGCUGACUGCAUGUUUGUUAUGUACAUUGAGUGCAUGUGAGGCUACAACAGAAGUAAAUGAGAAUGACACUGAAACAUGAGGUGUAAGCUAAAGGGAGUGUUCGAACUGCUGGAUGUUCAGUGAUGUAUGGAGCUGACAUUUGCAAAUCUAAGUUAUAUAUUCUGUUUUCAUUUCUUGACCCUGUCUGUAAAGCAAUCCUUCCACCAGACAGGGAAAAGGAAGAAGAGACAUAAUCCUGAGAGCUGCUUGGCCGCGAGGUGCUUCAUUGUACAUUUUUGUUCAUGGCCCUGAACCAAGCAGCUGAGCAAUACUAAAGAAAAUUCUUGUCGUUUGCCCCACAGGUAAGCUAAUAGGUAGUCACCCACAAGCAAGGUAUUUGCUUGCUAGUUGCACUUAGAGCCAUGUGAGAAUAUGAAUCUAGAUAGUCACCAAUUAUGUCACUCAGUGAGUGAGCUGACUAGAUUAGGCAUAGAGAAGAUAUUAAUUAUGCCUUGCUAAUGACUGUGAGGUAAUGUUUGCCUUUCUUUAUAUAGCUGUUCAGAGUGGUAGGAGGUAACUGUGCUGCUGUGGGAUAGCUUGUGAACUGGAUUGACGAUACUGGGUUGAGGGAGUGGUUGUGGGAUAGUUUCUGGAAAUGUGUGGUGGUAAAUACUUAUGUGAGCACAUUAGCACAGUGCCUGCAAAAUGCUGACACUGAUAGGUGAUUUAUGUGAAGAUCUCCAUGAAUGUAACUAAAAUGAUGGUGGCUGAAAAAGACAUAGUAACAAGGACAGGUAGGAUACAGAUGUCACUAGGCCCCCCUGCCUGAAGUGAUAAUCAGUGAAUUGGCUUUUGAGACUGGAAAUACACCGAAAAUGUUGAGGCUGAGGAAUGCGGUGUAUUCAGGAGCAAUAGCAGGCUGUAAUACGGAGAUGUGGUGUCAAGUGGGAAGUACUGUUGAUGGCACU
rnacentral:lncRNA from 1 species